CCUUUACGGCACUUUACGACUAGCGGGAGGAGGACGGGCUCGCGGACUCCUGGGCUGCGGAGACCCGGGGGCGAAAGUUCAACUAGGUGUCUCCCUGGUGAAGCGUCACAUUGGCAAAUCCAGCAGUGAGUGUCCUGAUUUCCCAACAAGGUCCAAGUUCAUUUCCAUAUUAGGCAUAAACUCCUAAUUUGUUGUGAAAGAAACUUUGUGAUAGAAAGGUGAGAAAAUCCUAGAAAAACUGAUAAUCUAUUAAAUAAUAGCUUGGACACUUUAUAUAUUGCUAAUAUAAAAAAAUAAUUGCUCUAUAUAUAGAGAAAACGAUGCCUAACAUUAUUUUUACAAGCAAAGAACAUGCUUUUCAAAAGUUAUUAAAUUAAAAUCAUAGCUAAUUUUUAAGGAACAUGUCUUAUUGAUAGUCCGUAAAUAGAACACAUUCUGUCACUUGAAUUUUUUUAAUUUGCUAUUUUCUAAUUUGAGUUAAAAUUUUUGGUUUAGUAUCUACAGGAAAAAAUGAAAGAAUAGCAUGCUUUGAGAAACAGGAAAAUCUGGUCUAUACUUUCUAAAGACUGUAACAUGCUUCAUAGUAUAAUUUAUCUUUAAAUAUAUUUAGUACAUUUAAUGUAUUUUAAUGUUUAAUAUGUUAGAAAAUAAAUAUAUUCUAUUUUUUUCAUUCUCCGCUAAUUGUAUCCUGCUUGUUGUUUAGUUCAUAUGCAUGAAGUAACUAAAUGUUGGCAAAAGCUUUUAGCUGGGCUCAGCUUUUAGUAAGCCAAAAGAUUUUGAAAGAAGAUGGGCAUUCUUUAGCUUCCAAAAUGUUGACUCUGGAUUUAGCAGCCACUAAGUAAUAAUAGACUACCCACUGACUCAAAGGUCAAAACCACAGACUGAUUAGGACAUCAUGAUUAUGUGAAGAAAGAAACAUUGGGUUAUCUAGUGCCAAGUUUGAAUCGAAUUGUGUUCUGUGACCUACUUUCCUUAGAUCAGUGUGCUGUCUAUGGAUAGAACAUGUAGCAGUAUUCUCUGGAGACUACUAACAGUUAUUAUUCAAAAUUUAAAGCUUUUAAAUAAGUCACAUAUUAAUUAUUCUAGCCUGCUCAGCAAUAUUAUUGAUGUGGUUAAUUUGUUUGAACUGUGUAAUAUAAAGAACAUUAUGAUGUACAAAAGUAAAGGCAAGCAAUGUUACUAAAAGACUUGAUGUAGGCAAAUAUUAUAAACUUUACGGCUACCUAUGUAGGUUACAGUGUUACAUUGUUGAUAGAUACAAAUUUAAGUAACAGUUUUAGUCACAUACAUAAAAUUCAUCCUUUUAACAUGUAUAAUUCAGUGGUUUUUAGUAUAUUCACAGAGUUACACAACCAUCAUCACUAUUUAGUUUCAGAAUAUUUUUAUCAAUCCAGAAACAAGCUCCAAGCUGACUUGCCAAAGUCAGUUCUUUGUAGUAAUUGGCCAAAUUGUUAACUCACUGACUAGAUUGACCAAGGAAAAAAAAAGAGAAAAAAUACAAAUAACAGAAGCAGACUUGAAAGAGCUAAUAAGAGAAUACUUUCAUUAUAUUAUCAUAAACAACUUUGUCAAUAAAUUGGAAAACUUAGAUGAAAUUUCAAAUGGACCAGUUCCUAGGAAAACAUAAUAUACUAAGGCAAAGAAAAAGACAAAAGCAUGAAUAGUAACCAUUCUAAUAACUAUUACAGAAAGUGAAUUCAUGUUCAAAAUCCUUUCCACAAAGAAAAGUCCAGGUCCAGAUAACUUUAUCAGUGAAUCGUAUCAAAAAUUUGAAGAAAAGAUGACUCUUCGAUUAGAAUUUAUUCUGAUAGAUUAGGAUCUGCUGUAACACAAGCUCUUCCAUAAAAUAGAAAGUAAGCAACUUUCUUUCUGUUUCAGAAGACCAGCAUAACCUUGUCACCAAAAUUGAAGGAUACUAUGAGAAGAGAAAAUUAUGAGUGAAACAUGUUAUUAUCUCAAUGAUGCAGGAAAAGCAUUUGAUAAAAUAUAACAUCAUUUUUUUGAUAAACGGAAAAAUUGUAACUAGGAAUAUAAAGGAACUUAAUUAAUCUGAUAAGGGUCUCUACAGAGAAACAAUUAGCAAAUAUAAUACCUAAUGGAGAUAUGCCAAAAGCUUUAUCAAUAUCUAGAGGAAGGCAAGGAUAAUGGCUAUCACACUUAUGUUCAGCCUUGUUCUAGAGGCCUCAGCAAGUGCAAUAGGGUGAAAAAAAUACACAGAUUGGAAAGGAAUAAAUAAAAUUGUCAUUAUUGGUGAAUAUGAUUGUGUUGAAUGAAAAUUCAAAAGCAUCUACAGAUAAAUUAUUAGAAAUAGCAAGACCGGUGACUAGAAGGUCAGUAUUAAGGAAACAACUGCCAAUCUUAAAUCUGAACUUAGGUAUCUCAGAGUCGUCUCAAAAUUUAACGAGGACCCAAUCAUUUGUGUUUUUUUUUUUUUUUUUUUUUCAUCACAAACCUCUCUCCCCUUCAUCCCAACGUUUCCAUUUCUGUUAGUGGCAACACCAUUUACCCAGUUACCCAAGCCAGGAUUAAAGGUUCAUACUGCUUCUAGCCUAUGUACUGCCUUUGUACAAAUUAGAAAAAGGUCCUCCUUGUAAUUGGGGGUAGCCCCAUGCCAGGGGACAUGACUUGGAGAACCAAGUGUGAGUUGGAUUUCAGCUCCUAUUUGCCUUUCUCAGUUAAGUGCUCUUAUGCAGUGAACAUCCUGCACAAUUGUACAUGGAUGCUCUGCCUUGAUCUUCCUCUUUUCCCCAAAUGCAAUUAAUUCACAGAUACUGCCAGCCUUAUCUCCAAAAUAUAUCUUGAAACCACUCUCUUUUAUUCUUUGUUCCCAACUUAGUUCAGGCCUCCAUCAUCUUUCAUCCUCACUACUAUAUAACACCAUUCUAAGUAUUCUAACUGGUCACUCCAUUUCUGGUCCUGCUCCCUCAAUUUCCCCACAGCACAUGAAGUGAUCAUCUUAAGACAUAAGUUCAAUAACAUUCCUCUCCUGCUGAAAUUCUUUAAUGGGUUCCCAUUUAACUUAGUUAAAAAGUCUCAGCUCUUUACUCUGAACCACAAGGCCGGGCAUGAUCUGAUCCUAUGUUUCUCGCCUCCUCUGUGCCACUGCCUCUUUGCUCUUCUGCUCCAGCUGUGUUAAUCUUAUUUCAGUUUAAUUAACACACCAAAGACCUUUCCUGCUUCAGGCUUUUGCACACGCUGGUCCCUUUUUGUGAAUAAUAAAAAUAAUAUUAUAAUAAUAACUCGUAUUUGUUUUGCUCAUGCUAUGUGCCAUGUACUGUUGGAAGUACCCUACAAACAUUAACACAUUUUAUCUUUAGAACAGUUGUAUGAAAUAGGUAAUACUGCUCACCACAUUUCACAGAUGAGGAAACAAAGGCACAGGGAGGUUACAUAAGUUGUCCAAGGUCUCACAACCUAUAAUCAGUGAAACCAGAAUCAGCUUCUUCACAUUCUUUGUACAGCAGCCUCUUCUCAUCCUCCAAGUCUCAGCAUAUUAGUCCUGUACCUGGGGAGGCCUUUCCUGAGCACUAUAUCCAGGAUAGGUCCCACUGUUAGUCGCUGUCUCAGCCUGUGUCCUUCAUAGUGUGGACUACAACUUACUAUUAUUAUUUUUAUCUUUUUUCCCAUCUUCCCCACUAAAACAUAAGUUCCAUGAAGACAGAAAUGUAAUAUACAGGCAUCAAUAUGCUAAACACUUUAAAAUGUAAAAUGAUGAAUGAGAACACCUUUUCAACAUCUAGCACAUUAUUUCUGAUGCAAUAACCACUCAAUAAAUGUUCACUGAAUUUAUGAGUGUUAUCCCUUUCCUAUUCAGAUACUCACCUGAAGAAAAAUAAAUCUUUUAUAAUUUAAAACAAAAUUUAAAAAACACUACUAAAAUUACUCAUCAAUCAGCUUAACAUGUUUUACUAGAAACAUCCUACCUAUGCCUGAUUCACUGUAAAGAGUAUAAACCAGACAGGAAGCAAUGUGUCUUGCUGUGAAUUAAAGAUAAGCUAAUAAAAUUAUCUUUUUUUAAAAACUCACUGUUGAGAUCUUAUUCUGAUUCUGGGCUACAUUCCAUGGGUUUAGCAGCAAUUAUUACUUUAUUUCAACUGUAGAUUUACUUAGGAAAUAAACAGUAUUUUCUUAUUGAUUGAAUGACUUUAUUCUGAUGUUCAGCUAGGCUUCUUAUCAAGCAUGGCAGAAACUAACUGGUUAAUUGAAGUAAAGGGAAUUACUUGAGAAGGUUUCAGGGUCACAGAACUUAGAGGAGACUGGAGCAUGAAUGGCUUGGAAAUAGGCAGGAACCAAAAGGUUACCAGAGCCAAAAAGCAUGAAGUAGCACUGGAGUUACUGCCUCCUCGCUGGGUGGCCUGCUCAGGUGCCACCACCACUGCUGCGAGUCCUCCAGUGCUGGCAUUACUCAUACAUACGAAAUGCCAUGAGAAUCAUCUGACUUAACCUCACUCAUGUGCUGGGCUGCCCAAGUCUUAAUUCUCACUUUAGGACUACACAGUUAAUUCCCCAAAAAUAAACUGGUGAAGGGUCUUUUACAUAGGGAAAAACAGAAACAUAUGUUUUGAUCUUUUAAAAAUAAUUUUGAAUUUUGUUAAUGGCAUGGGUUUUACCCAAGCAUACAGCUCACAACAUCACAAGGGACUUUACUCUUACUUUAGUCAAAACCCUUACUUUGAAUUAGGCAUUAAACAAGAAAUAAAAGUGAGUAUUGUCAUUGAAGAGUGAAAUAUUAAUAUAUGAUGAACCUUUGUGAAUAAGCCAUGUGCGAAACAGCCUUGUCGAAAUCAAAAGGUUGUUUGAUCCAACGUUAGAAGACUUCAUUUCAUGAGAACCAAGACAACAUCGACUACAGCUGUCUGGGCCAGCAGCGUGCGUCACACCACAGACAGCCUGCCCAGCCACUUCUUUCCGGUUCCUGUUUUUGUCUGAAAAUGGCAAAGUUGGGAAUUAAAAAUUGGUUGUAAGAGCCCCCAAAUGUAAUUCUUUGUAAUCAAAUGUAAGUGUAAGCAAAAGCACAUUUGUCUUUGAAAUCAAAUAUAAAUGUGCAUACAGUCUUGAUUCCUUUUUAAAAGCAAUUUAAAUAUACCUGAUGAAGCAGCACAGUUACACCCUUUUCCUUCUGUAUUUUCAACCCUUAUCAGAACACCGGCUCUCCAGACUUAGAUUACAAGUGUGCUCUGUUUCCCUUUGCCUCAGACAUUUUCCUUGGUAACUAACUGCACUGCUGCUUCUAUGCCCUCAUUUUAAUCUCGUGCUUUAGCAAAUGCAAUCUGGCCCUGCUCUCAACAAACUGCUUAAUCACAUCUUGCCCAUCUUCCCGUCUCAUCAGCCACUUUCAGGUCAUCAUUUUAUCAGUCUUUUUAAAGUAUUCAACACCAUCUGACUGUUGUUAACUCACAAAUACCUUUCAGUCCUGUAUUUCCACUCCAACUCUUAGAUUUGUGCUGAGUGUCUUUGGCCCUUUUCUUUCCUCUCUCACUUGAUAAUCUUAUUUUCUUGCACAGCUUUUUUUUUUUUCAAAUGCUAAAAUGAACUUAAAAACUCCAAUGUAAUGAAUGUCUGUUGUAACAAUACAAAGAGUACAGUAAACUAUCCAGUAAAAAAUUAGCUAUCUUUCCUUCCUCCCAUAUGUAUACACACAUACAUUUAUAUAUUUAUAUUUACAUAUAUGUAUAUCAUGUAUUCAUACAUAUGUUUCCAUGUAUAUUUGAUACAAAAGUUGGAUCAUACUAAAUACUGUUCUACAGCUUAUAUUUUUCCUUUAGAGAAAAUCAUGACUAUCUUUCCUAAUCAAUGCAUAUGAAACCAUCUAAUUCUUUGAAAGACUGCAUGAUACCAUACUUCUAAAUUCUUUAUGAACAUCUCCACAUGUUUAUUCCACUAGCUAAUCAAGCUCAACAAACAAAACUGCAGGUUAUAAUUUUCAUAAUAAACUGUUGCACAUCUCUCAGCUGUAUUACAUAUUUUAGUUAAUAAUAACACUAUCCUUUGAUGUAUGUAACUUGAAAAUGAGCACUAAAAUUUCCCCUAAGUCAUGAGCAUGAAUUUCUGUAUUAGCAAUGUCCCUUGGAUGUGCCACAGAUGCUUCAGGCUCUGCAUUUCCCAAAGCAAGCCUUCGUUUGGUAGCACCAUUCUCAUCCUAGUAGUUCAGGCCAAAAAUCUGGGAAUCAGCUGUUUCACAUUCCAUGUCCCCAAGUGUGUCCAAUUUUGUCACCUUAAUAUCUCUUGAUUUUGUUCUAUCUACUCUAUUAUUACUGCCUUAAAUUGGGAUUUCGUUAUUAUUCAUCUGACCUGUUGCAGUAGUCUCUUUACCAUUCUCCUUUCAUUCCCGACCCCCGAUCCAUUCACCAAGCUUUCAUCAAUGUGUUUCUCAUCUGCCCUGAAGGGCAAAUUUGCCAGCUGCCAGGCAGUUUUAAAACCUUCACUGACUCCCAUUCACCCACAGAAGAAAAUUCAUGCUCUUUAGCUUGCAACACAAGGACUUUUUAUCCCCUACUCAGCUCUCCAAUUUCAUUUCCCAUUAGUUUCCAGUUCUCUCUUGCAUUUUAUGCUUUUGCAAUAUCAAAAUGCUUACACACACAGGCACACACACAAAAUUUUUUGAGAUCUCUACAUACUUACAAAUAUUAAUUUCUCUGUGUGAGAUGGCCCCUGUACCUCCUUAUCUGGAAAAUUCCUCUUUAUUUUUCAAAGUCCUACACAACCAUUCCUUCUUCAAUGAAGUCUUCCCUCACUCUUCCCAGAGAAAAUAAAAUACUUAUCUCUUUACUUUUUGUGAACAUUGUAUGCAUGCUAUUGCCUAUAUAUGCAGUAUUAUUGCAUAUCAUUUUACAUAUCUGUGUUAUUAUAUAUCUUAAGUGUCGCCUCUAGCUCUUUGAUAGUGAGGAUCAGAUAUUAAUUCACCUUUGUAUAUUUAGCACCUACCACACUUCUGGCACAAAGUAAGUGCUCCUUAAAUUUUUAUUGUGAUAAAUUGCAUAGCGUUUUUAUUCCUUCAUUUUCCUCAGCAGCUAUAACCAGCCAGUUAACAUCUCUUUACAACGCUACAUCCUCAAUAGUUUAUGUUAUAUAUUUCUUUUUUAUUUGUUUUCAUCUCCAUCACUAUUAGCAUAACACAAGAGUUUGUUCUCUUUUAUUCGUGCAUCCAGUGGUAUUUGUCAAAUAUGUGUGGUUUGGGGGAGGCAAAGUUGUGGAAACAUGUUGCCUGGCCUGAAGAAGCCCAUGAUAAUUCACUGAGGGGACAGAUAGACAAUUAUCAUUGAAAUAACUUCACUGAUUUUCCAUCCCAUAGUUUUCUUCUAAUCUUAUGUCUCCUUCACAACACCCUUAGACAAGGGUCUUACCAUGUUGGCCAAUCUGGUCCUAAACUCCUGGGCUUGCAUGAUCUUCUUGCCUCAGUCUUUUGAGUAGCUGGGAUUACAGGCAUGUGCAUCUAUGCCUAGCUUCCCUCAGAGUAUUCUUCAUGUGGUCAAAUUGGUUUUUUUGCUCAGAAUCCUAUAGCUACCUAUUUAUUGCAGAAUAAAAAUUCACCAUUUAGACUGGCAGUCGGGACUCUAUGCUUUUUAUAUCCUAUUGUGCCCUCUCCAUUCCUCCUCUACUUCCUGAUUUCUUGCCCAUUUGUCAAAGGUUAAUUAAGAUGAUACCUUUUCCAUAAAGUCUUCAGGAUCCUUCUAGGAAUGAUACGCAUGUCACCUCUUGUGUUACAACAUUAAUAUGCAUCCUGCAUUGUGUUAUAAUUAUUUAUAUAUGUAUCUGUCUUCAUUAUAGAUUGGGACAAGAAAAUGGUUUGAGAGGGUUUUUUUUGACAUCACAAAAUCAGUACUAACAGAAAUAUGGUGGGCUUUGAAUUUGAAGCUUACAUGUUAUUUCAUGUAAAGGUUAUUCUUUUUUUAUAUUAUAUAGUUCUCAAUGAUACUUCUGUCUAUAACCUUUAUAGAAUCAAACACCAUGAUGGUAAAUUUUAUUUUAUUUAUAAAGAAUAUGAUUAUUUUACAAAAUAACUUCACACCAAAUUUAAUUCAAUUCUCUAGAAAGGAUUUUAUUGCCCACAGCCACAGUGGAAUUACAUAGCAAGGAGCCUUCCUUAAUGAAGAGUAAUUAUUGUACUAUGGUAAUCUCAAAUGCACAGUAGUGUUACAAUAGGUAUAUAUAUUAUACUUGCCAAAUAAAUUAGUACUGCUUACUCCUUUGAUUAAAAGAUCAAAGAUUUUUUAAUCAUGUCAUUGCACAUUUUGCAUAUAAUCUGCUGAAUCCAGCAAUAAGUGAUAACAAACCUAUCAUUUAUGUAAAUGUUCAGAAGCUUGACAAUAAAGUAAUGAAACUUGAAUUAGCUCUUAUGGAAGAAUGAGGAGUGCAAAUAUGUAAUCUUUGCAUAUGCAUGCAACGCAGGAUAAUUCUUUUUUUCUCCCCAAUUGAGAGCCGUUUCCUGAUGCAAAAGUGAUUUUAUGUUGCUUUUAGAUCUUUAUUUGAUACAUUGGCCUGCAGGGCAGAUUACUGGAAAGAGUUGUGGUGAAAUUCAAUCAGAAACAUGGGCAGCCAUGGAAGAAGUGCAUAAUAAAGAUUAGUUUUCCAUGUAUAUUACGGUUAAAAUUAAAUAGUAUUUAUCUGAAUAUACUAUAUUUCUUAGUGUUAGAAUUAAAUUUUCUUAUAAGAUAUGUAUUUUAUUAAAAUAUUUUAUUUCUAUAUUUUAUUGAGAUGCAAUGUGGCAUUAUAGGAAAAGCAGCAUGGAAUAUAGAGUCAGAUAAUCAACUGUGACUUUGGGGAAGGUACUUAUAGUCACUUUAUUUCAGCUUCUUCAUUUAUAAAUCUUUAGAGGAUUGUUGCGAGGAUCAAAUCUGAUAAAAUUCGUAAAGCAUCCAGCACAACUCUUAGCAGCACUCCUUUUCUCUUUCUGUAUGUUAUAUAAUAUACAUAUAAAUUUUACUUGAGGGUAAGUUGCCUCUAGCCCUUAGAUUCUUGAAUGCAUAUUUUCUUAGGAAUAGGGAUGUUCUCUUAUAUGAACACAAUGGUUACAUGCUUCAGUAAAUUUUAUCUUCGUGCAAUACUUUACCAUUUGUAUUCCAAUUUUUUUUUUUUUAAUUUUGUAAAGACUAGGUCUCGCUAUGUUGCCUA